GACGAACGCUGGCGGCGUGCUUAACACAUGCAAGUCGAACGGAAAGGCCCUGCUUUUGUGGGGUGCUCGAGUGGCGAACGGGUGAGUAACACGUGAGUAACCUGCCCUUGACUUUGGGAUAACUUCAGGAAACUGGGGCUAAUACCGGAUAGGAGCUCCUGCUGCAUGGUGGGGGUUGGAAAGUUUCGGCGGUUGGGGAUGGACUCGCGGCUUAUCAGCUUGUUGGUGGGGUAGUGGCUUACCAAGGCUUUGACGGGUAGCUGGCCUGAGAGGGUGACCGGACACAUUGGGACUGAGAUACGGCCCAGACUCCUACGGGAGGCAGCAGUGGGGAAUAUUGCACAAUGGGCGGAAGCCUGAUGCAGCAACGCCGCGUGCGGGAUGACGGCCUUCGGGUUGUAAACCGCUUUCGCCUGGGACGAAGCGUGAGUGACGGUAAUGGGUAAAGAAGCACCGGCUAACUACGUG
rnacentral:rRNA from 1 species